rnacentral:rRNA from 1 species
GAGGGGGGUGCAAACGUUAUUCGGAUUUACUGGGUGUAAAGGGUGUGUAGACGGUUGUUAAGUUGUUGUUAAAUCUUCCGGCCUAACCGGGAAGCCUGCGAUGAAAACUAACAGACUUGAGGGUGAAAGAGAGAAGCGGAAUUCUCGGAGUAGCGGUAAAAUGCGUAGAUCUCGAGAGGAACACCGAUGGCGAAGGCAGCUUCUUGGUUCACUCCUGACGUUGAGACACGAAAGCGUGGGGAGCAAACAGGAUUAGAUACCCUGGUAGUCCACGCUGUAAACGAUGAUCACUGGAUGUCAGCUUUGCUUUGCAAAGUUGGUAUCGAAGCUAACGCGUUAAGUGAUCCACCUGGGAACUACGAUCGCAAGAUUA